CUGAUGUAAAUUAUCCAGUCAGCCAUGACAGAUGAAUUCUUAAUGUGAUUUACCUUCUUUUACAUAUAUGUUUUAUUUUGAGAUGUAUUAGCACUCAUCUUAAAUCAAAAGAACACUGCUUGAAUUGAAACAUAAAUCUAUUCAAACAAGACCGAAAUAUAUGAAUCAUAUGCAUUCAGGAUCGGAGUGAUUAAUUAUCAGGAAAAUUUUAACGCCUAAGUCAUUUUUACCCAUCAAUAAUAUGAUUUAUGGCUAUAUGAACAAAAAAAACACCUACGCAUGAUUGACUCUCUCCUAAUUUCUUUCAACUCGUUACAGGUAUUGUGUAAUUAAUUACUAUCUCUUUGUUUCAAACUUAUGGGUUAGUUUUCAGUAUCUCAAUGCAGCAGGAAGAAUCAAUUAAUUAUUACCGAAAUCUGACUUCUACAGAAAACCACAAACAUACGGCUUUUUACAUGUACAUGCUGAAACAUUUUAUCAGUAAAUGACCAUUUUACAAAGAUAACACCGUAUACUCUACAUGAUACAGUUCUCAGCGCAAGAUAAGCUUCAUUUAGCACUAAAGAGCAGCCUUCCUCUUUUAUCGCAUAGCCAUCAUCCCCCCUCCCCAUUUCCCUUUCCUCUUUCCCUGUAGGCCAAGUGUAACAGUAGCAGUUUGGACAACAGGGAUGGCUAAUAACUACCAGUUGUGAUCCUCAAUAGAAAAGUAAACAAAGGAUGGUGGGGGGAAAAUCAGCCAUUAAUAAGUUGUAUCAUGUCAGGAGUUUUAUGGUCUGAUUAUCGGUGCGUUUCCUGUCUGGACUUCAUUCAUAAUGUCUUACACCAGGGUCAUUUGCAUAGUUCUCCUGUGAUCUUGUAUUAAUAAAGAGGCGAUACUGUGUUUUACUAUCAUUACUUAUAUCUGAACAGCUUCUUGUGAUCAAUUAAUUCAUCUUAAUGCUAAUGUCAGAGUGAGCCUUUACUACGGAAUGCACUGGGCUUAUACUGCUUCCGUACAUCUGAUUUCCCUAACGCAGAAAAGACACUUUUCCCUAUUAACAGCUAUCGCGGUAAAAACGUGAAUCCAUUAUCGAACAAAAUCACUCGGUGUUCUAAGGGGUUCUGAACAUGCAUCUUCAAAGGCGUAAGGGUAUUGUCAUAGAUUGACAAAAUAUGACCCUUAUUUUCCAGUCAGCACACUUCAAGAAAUGCUCUUUGGCUGCUUGCAGGGAUUAUUUGAACAAGCAUCUGUGAAGGUGCACCCAACCGCGAGAGGCGCUCAAUGAAACAAGGCGAUAGAAAGGUAUACUGCAAAAAAGUGGACCCCAGCCUUUUCCAGCCCACUUAAUAAAGAUCCAUUUUUCUCAUUUCCCUUUCAUUUAACACCGGAGUCAACCCGACAAAUAGACAUUCCCCAUGUUGACAAAAAUCUCUAAUGGAGAAAUAAAUAUCUCCAGCAAUGUGUGUUUUGAGUUGUUUAUCAGGAGAGAACCUUGUGGUGUCCCAUAAGCUGGGGAUUAGGGGGAGGAUUUCCAGUUAGCCCCUGCACCUGCGAUAGUGCUAUACCCUCUUAACUGUCCAUUAAAGGACCUUGGCUUGGGCACACUUUCUUUUACUGUGAUCGCAAAAACACUACAAAUUACAGGGUCACAAACAUUAUGCCUUGAGCAGGACACCUGGAAACGCUGUAAAAUGUCUGCACAACUCAUUGUGACUGGGAGCAUAAAACUUGACUUCUGUUGUCUGCGUUUUAAAAAUUGCGGUCACAUUCGCCUUUUGUUUGGAUGAUUACAUGAGCUUCGAGUAGACAAACAGAAGGAGGCAUAAUGAAGAUCUUCACACUUACCGGCAGUGGAGGAGAAAUCCAGAUUAGCAAUGAAAAUACUCCACAGGAGUUUCCAGAUCACGCUGUUUCCCAUCAUAGCAUGCGCUUAAUGGAUCCA